rnacentral:rRNA from 1 species
UUUGAGAUUUUGAUCCUGGCUCAGGACGAACGCUGGCGGCGUGCUUAACACAUGCAAGUCGAACGAUGAAGCCCUUCGGGGUGGAUUAGUGGCGAACGGGUGAGUAACACGUGGGCAAUCUGCCCUUCACUCUGGGACAAGCCCUGGAAACGGGGUCUAAUACCGGAUACCACUCCUGCCUGCAUGGGCGGGGGUUGAAAGCUCCGGCGGUGAAGGAUGAGCCCGCGGCCUAUCAGCUUGUUGGUGGGGUAAUGGCCCACCAAGGCGACGACGGGUAGCCGGCCUGAGAGGGCGACCGGCCACACUGGGACUGAGACACGGCCCAGACUCCUACGGGAGGCAGCAGUGGGGAAUAUUGCACAAUGGGCGAAAGCCUGAUGCAGCGACGCCGCGUGAGGGAUGACGGCCUUCGGGUUGUAAACCUCUUUCAGCAGGGAAGAAGCGAGAGUGACGGUACCUGCAGAAGAAGCGCCGGCUAACUACGUGCCAGCAGCCGCGGUAAA